AAGUGUAGGAAAAUAGAGAAAAAAGAAGAGUAGUAGUAAAAGUAGAAGAGUAAGAGUAGGAGAAAAAAAAUUACACGAGAGAGUAAAGACUGGGGUUAUAGAAGUGAAAAGGGAGACGAACGACUUGAUAUGGACUUUUGUGAAAGAAGCUCGAAUUAAGGUGUAUCGCUAAGUAAGAAGGUUUGUAAAAAGCGAGGGAGGGUGGGACGGAAUAGAGAAGCGAAGGGUCAAGUUGAUGUCGAGAG